AUUGAACGCUGGCGGCAUGCCUUACACACGCAAGUCGAACGGUAACAGGUUAAGCUGACGAGUGGCGAACGGGUGAGUAAUGUAUCGGAACGUGCUCAGUUGUGGGGGAUAACUGCUCGAAAGAGCAGCUAAUACCGCAUACGACCUGAGGGUGAAAGCGGGGGAUCGCAAGACCUCGCGCCAUUGUCGGGGCCGAUAUCAGAUUAGGUAGUUGGUGGGGUAAAGGCUCACCAAGCCGACGAUCUGUAGCUGGUCUGAGAGGACGACCAGCCACACUGGGACUGAGACACGACCCAGGCUCCUACGGGAGGCAGCAGUGGGGAAUUUUGGACAAUGGGCGCAAGCCUGAUCCAGCCAUGCCGCGUGCGGGAAGAAGGCCUUCGGGUUGUAAACCGCUUUUGUCAGGGAAGAAACGCUCUGGGUUAAUACCCUGGGGUAAUGACGGUACCUGAAGAAUAAGCACCGGCUAACUACGUGCCAGCCGCCGCGGUAA
rnacentral:rRNA from 1 species